UACGUAGGGGGCUAGCGUUGUCCGGAUUUAUUGGGCGUAAAGAGCGUGUAGGCGGCCAGGUAGGUCUGGUGUGAAAACUCGAGGCUUAACCUCGAGACGUCGGUGGAAACCAUCCAGCUAGAGUCCGGAAGAGGAGAGUGGAAUUCCUGGUGUAGCGGUGAAAUGCGCAGAUAUCAGGAAGAACACCCGUGGCGAAAGCGGCUCUCUGGGACGGUACUGACGCUGAGACGCGAAAGCGUGGGGAGCGAACAGG
rnacentral:rRNA from 1 species